GCGGAUCCGGGGCUGUUGAGGGAGGUAGCGCGCCUGGUAUGCCAUAGUUCGUUUUUCAUUUUUCGAGGAGGGAUAUUCGGGCGGGUGGUGGGUGUGCCGGUUGGCAGCCCGAUGGCGGGCGUGCUUGCAGAGAUGGUGCUGGGGACGGUGGAGGAGCGGAGCUUGGGUCGGUAUCGGCAAUACAUUGACAUGUGCGUCGGAUAUAUCGAUGAUGUGUUGGUCUGUUGGGAGGGUGGCCGGAGGGUGGAGGAUUUUGCGAGGGAGCGGGCAGGGCAGGAAUGUGGAUUGGAAUUGGGAAGGGACCGGUGGAGUGGUCAAUCUGUGCACUUUCUGGACAUUCGGAUGGGCAUGGUGGAGGGAGGAGUGAGGGCGAAAGUGUGUCGCGGGCCGGCGUGCG
rnacentral:lncRNA from 1 species